rnacentral:rRNA from 1 species
UACAAUGGCCGGUACAGACGGACGCAAAGCCGCGAGGUGGAGCAAAUCCUAAAAAGCCGGUCUCAGUUCGGAUUGCAGGCUGCAAUUCGCCUGCAUGAAGUCGGAAUCGCUAGUAAUCGCAGGUCAGCAUACUGCGGUGAAUACGUUCCCGGGCCUU